UUCUGGCUCAGGAUUAACGCUGGCGGCGUGCCUAAUACAUGCAAGUCGAAUGGUAGCAAUACCAUGGCGAACGGGUGAGUAACACGUAGGUAACCUGUCUUUAAGCCGAGGAUAACCAUUGGAAACGAUGGAUAAUACUGGAUAGGACAUUUGAAGGCAUCUUUAAAUGUUUAAAGAUUUAUCACUUAGAGAGGGGCCUGCGGCGCAUUAGCUAGUUGGUGAGGUGAAGGCUUACCAAGGCGAUGAUGCGUAGCCGGACUGAGAGGUUGAACGGCCACAAUGGAACUGAGAACGGUCCAUACUCCUACGGGAGGCAGCAGUAGGGAAUUUUUGGCAAUGGGCGGAAGCCUGAACCCGAGCAACGCCGCGUGAACGAAGAAGUAUUUCGGUAUGUAAAGUUCUUUUAUUAGGGACGAAAAGACAGAUUGACGGUACCUAAUGAAUAAGCUCCGGCUAACUACGUGCCAGCAGCAGC
rnacentral:rRNA from 1 species